rnacentral:misc_RNA from 1 species
AUCACACAACUCGAAGCAUAAUUGUUAGAAUUUUUAUUGAUCAAACUUUUUUUUACAACAUUAUAAACAUGGAUAUUUAUAUACUCAAAAAGUAAUCCUUAACCUAAGGAUUUGAACCACCAGAAGUAAACCCUAACCUUUAAGUAAUCCUAAAGAAGUAAUCCUUGACCAACAAGGAAUCUAGAUAAAGACUCGUACACAAAUUUAGAUCUUUCCAGUAAAUUUA